UCCGCAUCUGACAGGCGCACCACCAAACGGUGUAAUUCGGAUUUUGCUAUAUACACGGAUCAUAAUCACAGGGUUAACACUACUAAAUUCAAUCAUUGUCAAAUUGUUCCCUAUUGUAGUAUUUUAAUCAGUAAACUUUUAAGAUGACAAUACGAAUACUAAAAUUCUGGACUUAAAAUAAGGCGUAUAGGUACAGUUUUCAAUUUGUUAGCGGGAAUGACGUAAAUCAGCGAAUCAAAGAAUUCAACUUUAUUUAUAACUAAAAUAGGACAAUGCUGUUGAUUAAAAAAAACUCCAUUCCAGGACCUUUUGUUUUCCAAAUAAUUAAUAUUACCAAUAAUUGAUAAGUUCCAGGUCGACGGGUUCAAACAGAAAGAUUUGAAAGCAGAGAAAACUG
rnacentral:lncRNA from 1 species